UUUGUCCUACGGGGGGCAGCAGUGGGGAAUUUUGCGCAAUGGGGGAAACCCUGACGCAGCAACGCCGCGUGCGGGAUGACGGCCUUCGGGUUGUAAACCGCUUUCAGUAGGGAAGAACAUCGACGGUACCUACAGAAGAAGCCCCGGCUAACUACGUGCCAGCAGCCGCGGUAAUACGUAGGGGGCAAGCGUUAUCCGGAUUCAUUGGGCGUAAAGCGCGCGUAGGCGGUUGCCUAAGCGGGACCUCUAAUCUUAGG
rnacentral:rRNA from 1 species